CGGAGCUUACUUUAAGAAAAGAAGAAGAAUCCAGAGACAUGGUGGAACACGUCCUCAGAGAUUGUUACUGAGGUAGGAUCUCAGUUUCGUGCUCUGCUUCUUCCCUUGGCUCUGCCCUGAACCCAGUCCUCUACCUUCCUAUGGGCUGUGUGAGUUGCCCAACACCUUUCCAGUUAAUUCCUCUUCUGUUUAAGUUACCUGCCAUUUGCUCUCAAGAACCCCGACUAGAACAUGACCUCAUAGGACUAUUUUGAGGAUUGAAUAAGACGAUGUAUAUAAGGCCUUUAGCCCAGUACUUGUCAUGGGCAAACACUUACUGAAUCAUUGAUCUGAGAAACAACAAAGAAAAUGACAGAAUAGUGACAGACUUGGAUACUUGGUUAGUUGUGGGAGAAGAAUAAAAAGGAAGAAUGGGGAAGGUAACACUAAGUUUACAAACCUGUCUUCCACGUUCUUAUUCUACCUCGAACAAGAAUCUAGAAGCCAACAGAAGGAUGGCUAGGCGUUAAUGGCGAAAUACUGACCUCUCAGCAUGUCGACUGAGAACAAGCCCUGAAGCUUGCCACUCCCCAAGAAGCAUCUGACGCCAUACUCAAAUCACGCUGCUUGGUGUCCCAAGAACACAUCGUGUUAUUCUGAGCUCUGCUGCCUCUCACACUCUACUCUCUUUGCCUGAAAUGUCCUUCUCAUCCUCCUUCAACUUCAACUCAUUUAGGACUUGGGUUGCAUCUCUUACCCUCAGUGAAGCCCUUCCCUAAUUCCUUCCAGGCAAUGUUACGUUUUAUUCUGAAGUGCUCUUUUUUAAAAAAACGAAAUUCUUUUCCAUCA